AUCCAGUCCAGACACCGGCAUGCGCCUUCACAACCCAUCCGGUGACUCCGGUGGGGAAGCCCCCCCGCGGGUCGACUCCGGGGUGCCGGCACACGUCCACCUCGCUUCGAGCCGCGUGGGGAAUAUCACCGAGGGGUAGCUUAACGGCAGCGUAAUGAGCAACCAAAUCUUUGUAAGCCCUGGAGGCCCUCGCAGGGGCAAACACACCCGUACCGGGCAGGAAGGCAGGGAAG
rnacentral:lncRNA from 1 species